rnacentral:rRNA from 1 species
GAUGAACGCUGGCGGCGUGCUUAAUACAUGCAAGUCGAGCGAAUGGAUUAAGAGCUUGCUCUUAUGAAGUUAGCGGCGGACGGGUGAGUAACACGUGGGUAACCUGCCCAUAAGACUGGGAUAACUCCGGGAAACCGGGGCUAAUACCGGAUAACAUUUUGAACCGCAUGGUUCGAAAUUGAAAGGCGGCUUCGGCUGUCACUUAUGGAUGGACCCGCGUCGCAUUAGCUAGUUGGUGAGGUAACGGCUCACCAAGGCAACGAUGCGUAGCCGACCUGAGAGGGUGAUCGGCCACACUGGGACUGAGACACGGCCCAGACUCCUACGGGAGGCAGCAGUAGGGAAUCUUCCGCAAUGGACGAAAGUCUGACGGAGCAACGCCGCGAGAGUGAUGAAGGCUUUCGGGUCGUAAAACUCUGUUGUUAGGGAAGAACAAGUGCUAGUUGAAUAAGCUGGCACCUUGACGGUACCUAACCAGAAAGCCACGGCUAACUACGUGCCAGCCGCCGCGGUAA